GACUCGGGAUGCGAUACUUAUCACCUAUGUUCAUUAUAAACCAUUCUUGACUUGCAAUCUAAGAUUGGUUUAGAUCUGUUCUGUCCGUUCUCUCGCAUCGAAUCACCACUCCUCAGCCGCCGUGCUACCGCUACCAUAAUUUCGCCAGGAAUCAGAUUACCGUUGACCGGUUAUCCCCGCCAUUGAAGGUUGUGUCGUGUGCACCGUACUAUCCCUUCGUUUUCGUAUGAUCUAUAUCCAUUCUAACCAGCCACCUCCGCACAAGUUUAGCCAACACCAUCCCAUUAGAUUUGCUCUUCUCCAUCUAAUUAGUUGAGGUAAUUUGGGAAGCGUGGGGAAUAAGUGAAGAGUGUAUUGAAGAUAAAGAUUUUUUUUUUUAUUUCG
rnacentral:lncRNA from 1 species